AUACGGAGGAUCCGAGCGUUAUCCGGAUUUAUUGGGUUUAAAGGGUGCGCAGGCGGCCAUUUAAGUCAGCGGUUAAAUCGUGGGGCUCAACCCCAUUCUGCCGUUGAUACUGGGUGGCUUGAUUGCGGUCGAGGUUGGCGGAAUUCGUUGUGUAGCGGUGAAAUGCAUAGAUAUGACGAAGAACACCGAUUGCGUAGGCAGCUGACCAGAUCGCAAAUGACGCUCAUGCACGAAAGUGCGGGGAUCGAACAGGAUUAGAUACCCUGGUAGUCCGCACAGUAAACGAUGAAUACUCGCUGUUUGCGAUACACUGUAAGCGGCCAAGCGAAAGCGUUAAGUAUUCCACCUGGGGAGUACGCCGGCAGCGGUGAAACUCAAAUGAAUUGACGGGG
rnacentral:rRNA from 1 species